UCCAGAGGUUUCCAAGAAUGAGUGGGUUAGCAUAUGAUGAGCAUUUGACAGCACUGGGAUUCUUCUCGCUGGAGUAUAGAAGGUUGAAGGGGGACUUCAUGGAAACUUCCAGAAUAAUGACAGGCAUAGGAUGGAUGUGGAAAGGAUGUUUCCACUGGUGGGAGAG